CAGCAGCCACGGGAAUACGAAGGGGGCUAGCGUUGCUCGGAAUGACUGGGCGUAAAGGGCGCGUAGGCGGUUUUGACGGUCAGAUGUGAAAUUCCUGGGCUUAACCUGGGGGCUGUAUUUGAGACGUCAAGACUAGAGUGUGAGAGAGGGUUGUGGAAUUCCCAGUGUAGAGGUGAAAUUCGUAGAUAUUGGGAAGAACACCGGUGGCGAAGGCGGCAACCUGGCUCAUUACUGACGCUGAGGCGCGAAAGCGUGGGGAGCAAACAGGAUUAGAUACCCGCGUAGUCCCUGUCUCUUAUAC
rnacentral:rRNA from 1 species